rnacentral:rRNA from 1 species
UACAGAGGUCUCAAGCGUUGUUCGGAUUCAUUGGGCGUAAAGGGUGCGUAGGUGGCGCUGUAAGUCGGGUGUGAAAUUUCGGAGCUUAACUCCGAAACUGCAUUCGAUACUGCGGUGCUUGAGUACUUAAGAGGAUCGCGGAAUUCCCGGUGUAGAGGUGAAAUUCGUAGAUAUCGGGAGGAACACCAGUGGCGAAGGCGGCGAUCUGGGAAGAUACUGACGCUGAGGUGCGAAAGCGUGGGGAGCAAACAGG